UCCGUCCGUCCGUCCGCCUGUCCGUCUGCCUGCCUGUCCGUCUGUCUGUCCGCCUGCUUGUGUGUCUGUCCGCCUGCCUGUCUGUCUGUCCGCCUGCCUGCCCGUCCGUCUGUCCAUCCUAAUGGCUGCGUCCGUCCGUCCGUCCGUCUCUCCGUUUGUCCUAAUGGCUACGUGUCCGUCUGUCUGUCCAUCUGUCCUAAUGGCUGUCCGUCUGUCUGUCCCCGUAGCCCUCUGUCCCCACAGCUGUGUGUCCCCACGGCUGUCCGUGUGUCCGUCUGUCCCCCCGUCUGUCCCGCUGUCCCCUCACGGCGUCCCAUCCCGACGUCCCCGUGUCCUGUUGUGUCCCCACGUCUGUCCUCAUGUCCCACAGCUGCCCCAUAGCAGCACCCCAGAGCUGCCCCACAUCCCUGCCCCACAUCUGCCCCAUAUCUGCCCCACAUCCCUGCCCCACAUCCCUGCCC
rnacentral:lncRNA from 1 species